GUCCGCAUCAAUUCCCCAUCUAACACAGCCAUUGAAGAUUUCAGUUUCCUCUCCCAAUGAACCUCCUGACGGUACACAUGCUUCCUCUUCCCACGAAUCUCCGUUCGAAUCGGAAACGGAUGGAGGAAUGCGACGAGUUCCCGCACAUCCCCCUUUUAAAUUCGUGCUCCACCAUCCCCUGUAUUCUUUAUCGUCAUUCCCCACUGCAGACGGGGUUCUUCCAAGGAGCAAACCUGCCGCUGGACGUCUUUCCCGCCGAACAGUGUGUUUUAACCCUUCAUCGCUGCAUACACAUGCUCGCCGAAAGAUAGGUACGUUAUUCACAGAUUUUACAAUUUACAAUUUAUAAUUACAGAUCUUCUCUUCAGAAGCAAUCCAGACAACAACACUGUGGCAAACAACAACGAGGAGCAACAGUCAAGCCAAUCUUCAUAAGGCAUAUCAUAGAACAUAUAGGAGUAUGCGACCAAUAAGUGAAGAAGCUUUUCAUCCUACGACAACAUAAUAUUUCCUGACCCGCAAAAAAAAAAACAUAAUAUUUCCUGGACUGAUAAUAGGCAAUAACGGCAGUGAUCAACUUAUGUUCUGCCUGAGAAACAUCCACAUACCAAACAACUGUUGCAAACUAUAGCUAUGUCCUCCACUGCAUCCACAUGUACCUGCAUGGAUAUUAUUAAUGAACCCGACUUUCAGUUUUGCUUUCAGCGCUUUCAAGUUUCCACUGAUCAA